rnacentral:tRNA from 7 species
GAAUCCCUCUCUUUCC